rnacentral:hammerhead_ribozyme from 1 species
AUCCAACUGAGGAGUCGUAAAUAGGACGAAAAGUUAGUCCUGGAU